rnacentral:lncRNA from 1 species
CUCCAGAGACCGUUCAGCUAUCUUGAGCCGCUAGAGCUAGGAGAAAAAUGCAGACGCGAGGAGACGUGGGGGAUUGCUCUUCCUUGUUUGAUGUGGGAGAAAAAGCGACUGGGGCUUGCUGGACCCGCUCCCCUGUGCGGUGACAUGGCACCUCCCUUCCGACCGUUGGCCGGGAUAGCUUUCCCGGAGGUCGCGUCCCCCAGCGGAGGCGGCGGGAAUCGCGGAGGUUUUGUGCUGCGGCUGGGGUCUUUCUGGCCGUCCCGCCUCUAGAUGCCGGGUGGCAGGGAGCCGGUGGCGGUCGGCCAUGUGAAGGUGGCCAUCUUGGCCGGCCAGCGAGGGCUCCUCACGGCCUUCCUUCGGCGUCCCUGCCCGGCUCGUUGCCGGCCCCGGGAUAUCUGAGGGGCGCAGGCCCACCUUCUAGUCGUUUCCUGGUGAAUGGCUCUGCUGAAGAUGGCCGGAAAGCAGAUUAAUGAAGGUGCUGCCAUCGAUUUAAACAAUCGCCCUCCUGCCCGCUCCCCUGCGCUAAAGUUUCUGAGGGAUCCUCACCCUUCGUGGUUCGUGGACUUAAAAGUGGAGGCAGCGCUCCAGCCUUUCCCUCCAGAGAGAAAGGAGGCCGCUCCCAAGUCCGUCCUUGCCCCGUGGCCUUCCUGUUCCUUUGAAGGGGGGGGGAAUCGAUGUUUCAAUCCUCUGUUCAGGAGAAUAUGGAACGAACAUUUCUUUUUUGGUGGGUGGGGGCUAUUCGUUCCCUUGAAUGUGCUUAAGCAGAUCUCUUGACGGCGUGGAAUGGGCUGUUUCAUGAAGCUUUCACUUUAAAAUGUCCACCUGCGUUUGUCCCAGUUUUGCCCAAUAAAGGAAUUACAGGGAAAAAGAGCGAAACAAAACUUGAGCCAGCAAGGAGUAUGGAGUCCCGUUUGGAGGGAGCCCGCCUUGGGGGCGGGGGUCUCUGCAGCCUGUUCUGGGGCUGGGCCUCGGUGCAGGUCUGGUCGGGCUGGUGGCCUGGUGGCCCUGAGCGGAGCGCGUGACAAGAACGCCGGGUUUAAUGAGGUUCUCAGGGAACGGCCUGCUCCUAGCAUGGGAUGUACUUUACGCUGGGGAGGUGAAGGAGACCCCUAGUAACAGUCUCCAGCUGCCUACUGCUGGCGGCAGUAGAACAAGGUGCAUUCCCAAGAACAAUCCUCUCCGUCGGUGCAGGAGGAAAGGUGGGAUUUGCUAAAGGCUCAGUGGGAAACAAAGGAAGCACUUGGGCUGUGCUGGGGGCAUCCACAAAGAAGAUAAAGGGCUCCUCCCCAGACUCAGUGACCACAUCCACGGUCGCUCAAAGCAGGCAGCAAGAAAAGGUUCGACCACAAAAGAGACAAUAGGUGAUGAUAUUUUUAUUCGUUGCUUUUUACUUUUCAAGCUAACCCUUCAUGGGAAAGUAACUGUAUAAGACUAUUAAAUUUUUUUGUUAUUUUUUAAAGGAGAAUGCCAAUUUAUUAACUUACAAUGUGUAAUAAAAUUGUCAACUGGAACAAAAUGCGUGUGUAGGCUGGUCAGUGCAUUAUCUCCCAGCAGAAAAAUCUAUAUGGGAAGCCAGAAUAUAACUAGAAGGUUAUUUUAUUAGGGAGUCAGAACAAGGAGCGUAAAGUCAAUGAUUGGCUCAUUAAAUCCUGAUACCCCUGUGCUACCAACUCCACAGUGGGGCUAGGCCUGCCAAGGAGAUGAGAUUUAGCUGUACAUAGUUGCUUACCUACUUCUCUCACUUGUGAAUAGUGUGUAGGUGUAAUACAGUAAGAGUAGGGGUUUGGAGUCACGACCUCUCUAUGCAUCAGUAUCCUCGUUCUGUAAAAUUGGAAUAUUAAUAGUACAUCAUAGGAUUGUUUCAAGGAUUCAAAUAGUGCAAGUAGAGUCUUUAGCACAGUAUCUAGUACAUAAUUUGUUUUAAUGUAAGCUGUAAAAAAAUUAACUAUAUUUGCUGUGAAUUACUUUUCAGUGGCUUUCAAUUGCUGUCGGGAUACGGACUAAAAUCUCUACAUACUCAAGGCCCCAGUGUGAUUUGGCUGCUACUUCUGCAACCUUACCUUGUGCCACACUCUCCUUUCUGUGUUCUACUUGGAUUUUUUAGUUAGUAGCAGUUAAUUUUAUUAAUUUCAUAGUAUCAAAACAAAGGAGGACACAUUUUCCUGGCUAACUCCUUAUCCUUCUCACUCCAGCUCAGCUACCACUUCCUGGAUGAAGCCUUCAUCUACACAGAUUUGUCACAGGGGCCUGUGUUUUAUUUCAUGGCACUAAGUGCAGUUUCAAAUUAUAGAUUUGGUGAUUAUUUGAUGAAUGUCUCCAAUUCCCAGUUAGGCUUGUAAGCUCCAUGAUAAUGAGAAGGUGGGCUGUUUUGCUCAAGCUUUGUUACUGAAUGCCUGGCACACACAAGGUGCUUAGAAAUGUUCAAGAGGGAGAGACAAGAAAGGAAGGGAAG